UGCAGAAAUAAAAACUCUCUUCCCAGCUCAUCUGCUUCUCCUUACUGGGCCGCGAGAAAUAGCAGCCUAACCCUCAGUUUGGUCUGGGAACAACUGUACUCCAGCCUGGGUGACGGAAUGAGACUGUGUCUCAAAAAUAAACAAACAAAAUAAUAAAUUAAAACUAAUUUUAUUAAUUUUUAUUGUUACUAUUUUAUAGUGUCAUAAAUCACAGUUAACCACAAAUUAUUCUUGUUAGAAAAUACACUUUUUUAUGAAAUUUGGCAGGAAAGUUUUUGUUUACAUGGAGUUCCAUAAAGAGUCCUUGAUGUAGUAAGAACUCAUAAGGCAAGCAGGCAGCUGAGGCCUCCUGAGACAGGAAUGCACAUAGCGCUUGGGCCCUGCAGGCGGAGCGGGCUCGGGGACCUGGCGCAGCGCUCUGUCACUCUGGGAAGGAGACGCUAGCCCGCAGGCUGCGGCUGAUGCUGGGGUCCUGCACUAGCGCGAAGGUCAGCUCCAUGCCGGCGAGGCCAGGACGGACUCCAGAGCCUCAGUGUGCUGAGCGCAGGCGCCCAGUACUCGGCGGAGCUGGCGCCCCGCUAGACGCAAGGACUCCACAAGGACCCCAGAGCCAGAUCCCUGCGAGGCCCCGGCAUUCCCUGACCUGGCGGGGAAUCCUGGCCCCCGAUGGUCUACGGCAGCCCCCAGCCGGCUCCCGGGAUGGCUUGCAGCGCCCGCAGGCUUCUCCAGCCUCCAGAACUGCAGGAGCUGCGGUCCAAGCCAGUUCCUGGGCUCCGGGAGAAACUGAGUUUGUCAAGGACGAAACCACAAGAAACUCUGAAAUAAAAGAGGCAAAGAACAUUCAAGGAGACUGAACAGAAGAUGCCAAAAACGUGAUAAAUUCAGCCUGUAGCACAUACUCUGGGACCAUGCAGAUGAUGCACUCAUCCUGACCGCUCUCCUCCGCUGAUGAGGACACUUGACAUUUCAUCAACGAGGCGUUUGAGGACCAGGUAGACGCUCACUGCAAACCUAAGGGCCAUCAGAUGCAGAGGAAGCCACUUGCAAUUGAUUGGUCUCCUUAAACAACUUCCCUUUUAGGCUUCUGACAUGAUCUGUGAUCUUCUGACAUUUGUGUUGCUUCCUUAAUUUCAGUUUUGCUUUGUUGUGACCAAAAAAGUAACUUUCUUGGAAGUCUGACACAAGUUAAAUUUCUCAGUACAAUUUAGCCUUUCAGCUAGAAUGUUAUUGAAAGUUGUUAGUAUUUGAGGUAAAUAUGGAGUAAAUAUUUAGUCUAGUAAUAAGGAGAAAACAUCUUAACAGCUUAGCAGUAGCCUUAGUAGAUAUUGAAAAACCUUGCCACACACCUCUCGUUAAUAUCUGGGUUAUGGUGGAGGAAGUCCAACACAUUCCUCAGGCUACCCAUUGGAGGUAGUGUCUCUGCACAUACUCCCUAGUGAUUUUGGCCAGCAACUCUCUUAUCCUCUGUAUUUCACUCACUGGUUAAUUGAUGUACAUCUUUCAUAUUUUUAACUUAUGUCUCUUUAUUCAUUAGGGCAUUUCCAUUGAAAAAUUUAAAGGGACAUGUUUUUAAAAUGAGAGAGGAUGUAUCAUUUCAUUUUAAAUUUAAAUUACCAUUAAAAUAAGAAAAAGUGCUGUAUUUUGGGUGCUAAGAAGAUGCACGAACAAAUUUAGCUAAGAAGGUCUUUUAAUGCAGCAUGCUGGGCUACCUCCCUUCGCUGGGUCAGGUUGUCUCUGUAUGGCCAUUACAGAAUAAUGCCUUUAUGGAGGUAUAUAUUAAACUAAACUGAAAAUUAGGGAGAUUUAUGUGUCUUCAGAAUGCACCAAAAGCCACUUGAAUUUGCUGAAAUCUGGACCUUAUUAGACACUGACUUAUUUUCUUUUACAUAAUAAUAAUGAAAGAAAAAAAAUGUAUGCCUCCAUUAUGUCAGAAGAAGCCCAUUUUGUGCAGAUAGUUUGGGAUACUCUAUAUCAGAAGAGGAGAUGAAAACGUGUUAAAACAAUUAAUUCAGAAUCCAGGGCACAGGAGCCAUUAGACUGAGGAGUGUCCUGUGCCCUGGAUUUCACGUAAGCAAACCAAAACCCAGCUCAGUGUAAAUGGUCAUAGUCUGGGAUAAUGAAAUAUAAGCUUAACCAAUUUGAAGCCACCAACUAAUCUCUAGCUAGGAACCUUUCACGGGAAUGAUCCAAAUAAGGCUACUGUUCCACUGUAACCAGUUAUGUUUUCUUUGUCUUGCUACUAUGUUCACCUUAUAUAUACUUUCCUUUCAUGCCCUUUCCAAGGAGCCCCAAACCACUUGUGGUCUGGAGCUGCCUAAUUCAUGAAUUGCUGUCUGCUCAAAUGAACUCUUUAAAAUUUUCAUGUGUCUACGUUUAUCUUUAAACAUAAAUCAUCCUUCUACUUUUGCCUUCCCUCUAAGGUGGUUGAGAUCUGAGCUUUGUAAAUGAACAUUAUACAUCAGACAAGACCCAAUUUUCUCACAUACCUUUACUUCUGACUUCUUUAUUUCAUCUUUAUAGUAACUGCCUUUUUAAUGUUUUCUUAUUUCAAAUUGACUUAAAUAAAUCAGCACAUUUUUAAAGUUAGAUGGCAUAUUUUUUAAGUUAUAUGAUUUAAGGCAAAUGUUACUGCAAUUCUAAAAAAUAUAAGGUGGUUACAUACUUGCAACAAGUUUUAAUGAUUUUUUUCAAUUAAAGAUUGUAAAUUACUUCUCCUGAGAGAGACAUUUUUCUCUUACCAAGAAUUUUUCCUCACUCUGCUUUUCUGAGUAUUAUAGCUGUUAUGACUGCAUAAGCCAAGUUGUUUUGACUUAGCUUUAUGAUCUUAAGAAAAUCACUUAAUCUUAAUUCUGUUGCAUUAGUUUAUCUUCUAAAAAAUGGGUUUAAAAAGAGUAGCUUCCUUCUAGUUUUGCUAUGAAGUCUAAUGAAAUUAAUGAACAACAAGCUUGAAGGACAAUAAGCCUUAGCUAUUAUUUUGGCAGCAUGAUGAUAGGAUAUGUUAGAUUUCUUUAUACAGAAUGUCAUCAUUUAAAUUUCUCAUAUCAAAUGGAGGAGACAUUAUUCCCAUGCCUUUUCUCUCAGAACAACAUUUAUUAAUACUCUCAGUUUUCUUACUUGUAUUUUCAAAUUCUAUUGAGAAUAAAAUAGGUCACAUUUGUGUUACUCUUGUCCUACAUUGAUCUACAGAAACUUCAAAGAGGCCCCGGAACUGCUCUGAAAAUAUAUCUCCAUAUGUCCCCAUUUUAGCAAACAUGCAGAUGUCCCUUCAGUGGGUUGCUCUGGAACAAGGUCUGAAAGUCAGUUUCUAGUCCAGAUGAGGAGCGAAGCAGUAAACAAGGCCAAUGAGGCCUGUUCUCAUGGAGCUUGCAUUCUGGUAGGAGGCAGAGAGUACAUGAGUGAAUAAAUACAUCUAAACAUGUCAGCUAGUGAUGCAUACGAAGUAUAUAGUUAAGGCAAUGAGAUGGAGAGGUUCCGGGCCCUUAGGCAGGGCCAUUAGGCCAUCCCACUAUUGCAGUCUUUCUCCUAAGCCAUAGCAUCUUGCUUUUUUAGAUUUUUCAGUAGUUAGGGGGAGCCCAACCAGGCUCUGAGUCUCUCAGGUACCACAAGACAUUCAUCUAGUUCUGGUUCCUUUUGGGAAACUUUCUCUAGGUUUGAAGUGAGGAAGAAGUAUUCCAUUCCUGCUCUAGAUCUCAUGAUUGGGAAACUCACCACACAUGAAUUAAUUCCUGUUUAAAAUUACCUCCAGUCUUCAGUGUCUCUGACAGGAACCAGGAGAUGAGAUUUUGUGCUUUUUGGUAUUGACCGCCAUGGCAGUCUCACAGCUCCUUUUGCUCUGUGAUCUCUACGAAUAUUCUUAGAAAUUCAGUAAAAAUGGAGGGAGAAAUUUCUGAGUGCAAUUUUUACCCCCCAUUGUAUGGGAAUUGGCUGCCUUUUAGACUAAGUCACUCCAGCCCAAGGACGGAGCAUUGAUGGGAACUCUGUAUUUUCACUCUGAUCCCGGGAAACUGCAGACAGAAAGAAAAUAUUUUUUUUGUCAUGCAAAAAUAAUCAACUUCCACAAUAUCAGAGUCUGGGUCCAAUACACUGUGUGGUUCACAGAAGAGGCUCAUUAGAGCUUAAAGGUUCUUUCCCAAGGAAAAGUUUGUUUGACUACUUUACUGAAGCUAGAAAUGCAACAAUGCCGAUUUCUCACGUGUAUCUGUAGUUAUUCUAGAACGAUGCAUACAUGAAUUUCAUACUACAUGCUUCUGCUAUGUUUAAUUCCCUUAUUCCCAAUGACUCAUAUUAUCUUUAUAAAGUCUCUAGAGAAAGAGUACAAGACUCUUUCUGCUUUAGAGAGGUGUCUUGUUAUUGGUAGCAAUAACAAAUAUUGCAGGUAAGCAGAGUCCUAGCAAAACAGGCAGUAUUUUACAUGCAAUCCAUUUAAAAAAUCAAGCGUCUGGAAAUUCCUAGGAGCUAAAGAAAGUUAUCCAAACAAGUAAUAGCAUCUCUAUAAGUGCUGAAUCCCUGAGCCCCCUUUAUAGGGGCUGAGCGAGUGGAAGGAAGCCAGCCCCAGGCAGAACAGGCACUUCAGAAAUUUAAGCAAAUGAACAUCUUUACCUUUAUGCCACAUUGGCUGAAGCUAAAAUUUGUCCCCCAGAGUUACGGCCACCAAAAGAUGUUCAAAACAUAACAUGGACUACAUUUUAAAGGGAAAUCUGUGCAGAAACACCACAAGCAUAAGGUGAGAAUGAGAAUGGAUCCUUUAAGAAAAAAACAAACAAACAAUGAAUUUUACUGCUGGAAAAUACAACUUCUGUAAGGUUACAGUGGUGUAGACACUAAACCUAAAUAGAGACAAGAUUAUGGAGAAAGGUAUACAGAAAAGGAGUUUGUCUUUUCAAAUUUGACAGUGGAGUUCUGUAUCUAAUUAUACACAUGUGUAGGCUCCAACACCCUGGGUGUUGUCAAAUACCUGCUUCUUUAUGAGGAGCUAACAAACUCUUAUUGUGUUCCCCAAUAGACAAACUCUGGCUUCUAUUUUUUUCUCAUUUCCUCUGGAUGGAAUGGUAGAUUCCAAAAUUAUUCUGUACUAUAGGUGUAUUAGUCAGGGUUCUCUAGAGGGACAGAACUAAUAGGAUAUAUGUAAUAGUUUAUUAUAUAUAUUCCAUAUAUAUAUUUUAUAUACCUAAUACAUUAUUAUAUAUACAUAUAAUAAAGGGGAGUUUAUUAAGUAGUAUUAACUCACACAAUCACAAGGUCCCACAAUAGGCUGCCUGCAAGCUGAGGGGAAAGGAAGCCAGUCUGAGUCCCAAAGCUGAAUAACUUGUCCAAUGUUUGAGGGCAGGAAGCAUGCAGCACUGGAGAAAGAUGUAGGCUGAGAGGCUAAGCCAGUCUAGUCUUUUCACGUUCUUCUGUCUGCUUUUUAUUCUGGCUGCAUUGGCAGCUGAUUAGAUGGUGCCCACCCAGAUUGAGGGUGGGUCUGCCUUUCCCUACCCACUGACUCAGAUGUUAAUCUCCUUUGCCAACACCGUUACAGACACAGGCAGGAACACUAUUUUGCAUCCUUCAAUCCAAUCAACUUGACACUCAGUGUUAACCAUCAUAAUGGGAUUAUUCCAAACGUAUGCCCUUAUGGUUCGGAGUCCCUAUACUAUUUUUAACGUAUCUACAUAUUUAGUGCAAAUUAUUCUGCUUGUAAGCUCUUAUAUUUCUUAAUGUUAAAUAGCACAUGCUAUUUACUGAAAUGUGGACAAUAAGCAACUAUUGAAAAGAAAAAAUGAUAUAAAAUUCUAACAAUUAACAUCAAC
rnacentral:lncRNA from 1 species